UACAACGACUCUCGGCAACGGAUAUCUCGGCUCUCGCAUCGAUGAAGAACGUAGCGAAAUGCGAUACUUGGUGUGAAUUGCAGAAUCCCGUGAACCAUCGAGUCUUUGAACGCAAGUUGCGCCCGAAGCCAUCCGGUUGAGGGCACGUCUGCCUGGGCGUCACACACC
rnacentral:rRNA from 1 species